AUGUUGUAAUGAUGACAAAUUCUCAACAGUUCCUUGAACCUCUCCCAAGAGUCAUAUAAAGAUUCCCUCUCAAGCUGGUAAAAAUUAUUGAUCUCCCCUCUUAAUUU